GGUCUACUAACUAUGUCUGUACUGUAGGUCUACUAACCAUGUCUGUACUGUAGGUCUACUAACCAUGACUGUACUGUAGGUCUAUUAACCAUGUCUGUACUGUAGGUCUAGUAACCAUGUCUGUACUGUAGGUCUGUUAACCAUGUCUGUACUGUAGGUCUACUAACCAUGACUGUACUGUAGGUCUAGUAACCAUGUCUGUACUGUAGGACUACUAACCAUGUCUGUACUUUAGGUCUACUAACCAUGUCUGUACUGUAGGACUACUAACCAUGUCUGUACUGUAGGUCUACUAACCAUGACUGUACUGUAGGCCUACUAACCAUUACUGUACUGUCGGUCUACAAACCAUGACUGUACUGUAGGUCUACUAAGCAUGACUAUAGGCCUACUAACCAAGUCUGUACUGUAGGUCUAUUAACCAUGUCUGUACUGUAGGCCUACUAACCAAGUCUGUACUGUAGGUCUACUAACCAUGUCUGUACUGUAUGUCUA
rnacentral:lncRNA from 1 species